CUCUCUUCUUUUUCAUAAGCGCUCUUAUGAAAAACGUAUGUUACUUAGUGUGAAAAAAUAUUGUGACGUGUGCACAUCUAGAAAUCAACAUGGCUACCGAUAAAGAUUUGCUGUUAGACUUGCCGAUUUCUGCUCCAAUUUUAAACAAAUUCAGAGAUUGUGGAAUCGGAACGGUAGAGCUCAUAAACUGUACAGAGAGCCAGUUUAUUGAAGCCCUGUCACAAAUUGACGUCAAAUGGAAGUUCGGCCAUAUAUGGAAAAUAAUUACAGAUUGGCGUGCAAGAAACGGACUGGAAAACGUUCAAAUUGUAUAUGUCGAUGAACCAUCCCAUCUAGAGAGAACAGCCCCGGAGAAUUUGGAUGACUUGGAAAAUGUAAGUCGUCGUG